rnacentral:rRNA from 1 species
UACGUAGGGUGCAAGCGUUGUCCGGAAUUAUUGGGCGUAAAGAGCUCGUAGGCGGUCUGUCGCGUCUGCUGUGAAAACCUGGGGCUUAACCCCGGGCCUGCAGUGGGUACGGGCAGACUAGAGUGCGGUAGGGGAGACUGGAAUUCCUGGUGUAGCGGUGAAAUGCGCAGAUAUCAGGAGGAACACCGGUAGCGAAGGCGGGUCUCUGGGCAACAACUGACGCUGAGGAGCGAAAGCGUGGGGAGCGAACAGG